UUGGUGCUUGCAUCAUGAUUUACAUUUGAGUGAGUGGCGAACUGGUGAGUAACACGUGGGAAACCUGCCCAGAAGCGGGGGAUAACACCUGGAAACAGAUGCUAAUACCGCAUAACAACUUGGACCGCAUGGUCCGAGCUUGAAAGAUGGCUUCGGCUAUCACUUUUGGAUGGUCCCGCGGCGUAUUAGCUAGAUGGUGGGGUAACGGCUCACCAUGGCAAUGAUACGUAGCCGACCUGAGAGGGUAAUCGGCCACAUUGGGACUGAGACACGGCCCAAACUCCUACGGGAGGCAGCAGUAGGGAAUCUUCCACAAUGGACGAAAGUCUGAUGGAGCAACGCCGCGUGAGUGAAGAAGGGUUUCGGCUCGUAAAACUCUGUUGUUAAAGAAGAACAUAUCUGAGAGUAACUGUUCAGGUAUUGACGGUAUUUAACCAGAAAGCCACGGCUAACUACGUGCCAGCAGCCGCGGUAAUACGUAGGUGGCAAGCGUUGUCCGGAUUUAUUGGGCGUAAAGCGAGCGCAGGCGGUUUUUUAAGUCUGAUGUGAAAGCCUUCGGCUCAACCGAAGAAGUGCAUCGGAAACUGGGAAACUUGAGUGCAGAAGAGGACAGUGGAACUCCAUGUGUAGCGGUGAAAUGCGUAGAUAUAUGGAAGAACACCAGUGGCGAAGGCGGCUGUCUGGUCUGUAACUGACGCUGAGGCUCGAAAGUAUGGGUAGCAAACAGGAUUAGAUACCCUGGUAGUCCAUACCGUAAACGAUGAAUGCUAAGUGUUGGAGGGUUUCCGCCCUUCAGUGCUGCAGCUAACGCAUUAAGCAUUCCGCCUGGGGAGUACGGCCGCAAGGCUGAAACUCAAAGGAAUUGACGGGGGCCCGCACAAGCGGUGGAGCAUGUGGUUUAAUUCGAAGCUACGCGAAGAACCUUACCAGGUCUUGACAUACUAUGCAAAUCUAAGAGAUUAGACGUUCCCUUCGGGGACAUGGAUACAGGUGGUGCAUGGUUGUCGUCAGCUCGUGUCGUGAGAUGUUGGGUUAAGUCCCGCAACGAGCGCAACCCUUAUUAUCAGUUGCCAGCAUUAAGUUGGGCACUCUGGUGAGACUGCCGGUGACAAACCGGAGGAAGGUGGGGAUGACGUCAAAUCAUCAUGCCCCUUAUGACCUGGGCUACACACGUGCUACAAUGGAUGGUACAACGAGUUGCGAACUCGCGAGAGUAAGCUAAUCUCUUAAAGCCAUUCUCAGUUCGGAUUGUAGGCUGCAACUCGCCUACAUGAAGUCGGAAUCGCUAGUAAUCGCGGAUCAGCAUGCCGCGGUGAAUACGUUCCCGGGCCUUGUACACACCGCCCGUCACACCAUGAGAGUUUGUAACACCCAAAGUCGGUGGGG
rnacentral:rRNA from 2 species